UUUAAAGUGGCAGGAUAUGAAUUGUCUUCAGUCAAGACUACUGUUAACUAUGAUUUUUGAGACACUUAUGAUCACUUAUUUUUGGUCCCCAAGCCUUGAAUAUCUAUUUGUCCCAGAACAUAGGUGGUUAUCCUCCUUGUGCCAGACAAGCCUCUGCUAAGGAUCAGGAUUGUGAGCGUGCCCAAGUCUAUAUGAAUCACUUUGAGCUGGUGACAAUGACUGCUAGAAAAAGAAGUUCCUCAAAUAGGUUUCUUGCAGAGAACUACAAUAAUCUCCUACCACUGUCUGGGGUUGUUUCCACCUGUGCGGAGCCUUUGACGGUGCAGGAAAAGGCCUUGAGUGAAGAACAAAAAGCUUCUCCCAUGCAGGAGCAACAACCUGGCCAGCAGCAAGAAGAGGAACAAACAGUGGAGCA